rnacentral:lncRNA from 1 species
UAUCCUGAACCCAAGUCUCGUCAAUGGCGCUUUAGUUCAAUUUUGAAGGUCGUUAAGUCCUCUAAGAUGUAGAGUCCUGAACUUGAAGAUUCUAUUUCUGUCAUCUUCAUAAUCUUCUACUUUUUGAAGUAACUCUAAGCAACCAAAUUGGCUUGUCCCACGUAACAGAGCCAAAAAUAUCCAGUUGGAAUCUGAAUACCCGACAAGUACUAGGUACUGAAUUGUCUUUAGGUCAGGGUAUCAAAAUCCACACAAUCUGCUU